rnacentral:rRNA from 1 species
AGCGGACAGAUGGGAGCUUGCUCCCUGAUGUUAGCGGCGGACGGGUGAGUAACACGUGGGUAACCUGCCUGUAAGACUGGGAUAACUCCGGGAAACCGGGGCUAAUACCGGAUGGUUGUUUGAACCGCAUGGUUCAAACAUAAAAGGUGGCUUCGGCUACCACUUACAGAUGGACCCGCGGCGCAUUAGCUAGUUGGUGAGGUAACGGCUCACCAAGGCAACGAUGCGUAGCCGACCUGAGAGGGUGAUCGGCCACACUGGGACUGAGACACGGCCCAGACUCCUACGGGAGGCAGCAGUAGGGAAUCUUCCGCAAUGGACGAAAGUCUGACGGAGCAACGCCGCGUGAGUGAUGAAGGUUUUCGGAUCGUAAAGCUCUGUUGUUAGGGAAGAACAAGUACCGUUCGAAUAGGGCGGUACCUUGACGGUACCUAACCAGAAAGCCACGGCUAACUACGUGCCAGCAGCCGCGGUAAUACGUAGGUGGCAAGCGUUGUCCGGAAUUAUUGGGCGUAAAGGGCUCGCAGGCGGUUUCUUAAGUCUGAUGUGAAAGCCCCCGGCUCAACCGGGGAGGGUCAUUGGAAACUGGGGAACUUGAGUGCAGAAGAGGAGAGUGGAAUUCCACGUGUAGCGGUGAAAUGCGUAGAGAUGUGGAGGAACACCAGUGGCGAAGGCGACUCUCUGGUCUGUAACUGACGCUGAGGAGCGAAAGCGUGGGGAGCGAACAGGAUUAGAUACCCUGGUAGUCCACGCCGUAAACGAUGAGUGCUAAGUGUUAAGGGGGUUUCCGCCCCUUAGUGCUGCAGCUAACGCAUUAAGCACUCCGCCUGGGGGAGUACGGUCGCAAGACUGAAACUCAAAGGAAUUGACGGGGGCCCGCACAAGCGGUGGAACAUGGUGGUUUAAUUCGAAGCAACGCGAAGAACCUUACCAGGUCUUGACAUCCUCUGACAAUCCUAGAAAAUAGGACGUCCCCUUCGGGGGCAAA